rnacentral:rRNA from 1 species
AGCGAACGCUGGCGGCAGGCCUAACACAUGCAAGUCGAACGAACCUUUCGGGGUUAGUGGCGGACUGGUGAGUAACACGUGGGAACGUGCCUUUAGGUUCGGAAUAACUCAGGGAAACUUGUGCUAAUACCGAAUAUGCCCUUCGGGGGAAAGAUUAAUCGCCUUUAGAGCGGCCCGCGUCUGAUUAGCUAGUUGGUUGAGGUAAUGGCUCACCAAGGCGACGAUCAGUAGCUGGUCUGAGAGGAUGAUCAGCCACAUUGGGACUGAGACACGGCCCAAACUCCUACGGGAGGCAGCAGUGGGGAAUCUUGCGCAAUGGGCGAAAGCCUGACGCAGCCAUGCCGCGUGAAUGAUGAAGGUCUUAGGAUUGUAAAAUUCUUUCACCGGGGACGAUAAUGACGGUACCCGGAGAAGAAGCCCCGGCUAACUUCGUG